GCAUCUCAAAUGCCCAACUCUAUAUUUUCCUCUAUUUUAGAGUUUAGAGAAUAUAU
rnacentral:sRNA from 1 species